rnacentral:tRNA from 1 species
UGGGAUAUAGCUCAGUUGGUUAGAGUGCCACGUUGACAUCGUGGAGGUCGGCGGUUCGAAUCCGCCUAUCCCAACCA